ensembl:snoRNA
UGGACCAGUGAUGGUGACUGGUGGUGUGUGAGUUGUGGGUGAUGAGCAAUACCUGUGAGGGUCAAC